rnacentral:tmRNA from 1 species
GGGAUCGACCGGUUUUGACAGCUUAAGUAGAUCGGUUGUAAGCACGUCGGGAGUUGGAGGCAUUUCCUGUUAAAAAAACCUUCGAAUUAUAGCUGGCAAUACUUCGUAUGCCAUGGCUGCUUAGUCUGAUAGACUAACCAAUUGCCAUCGUUCCACCCCGGCCAAACUCUGCCGCUAGGGAAUCUGGAGCGUCGACCAUGCAGAGUCGGUGAAUGCGAUUUCGCUAAGCGUUCACUAGUAUCCAGCGAAUAAGUGUUCGAUAAGGUCUGAUCUGAACCUGUUGGGCAUCGAAAAUUGAUCAAAUCUAAACGUGUAGAAAGCUUCAGGUUUCUAGGUUUGGACGAGGGUUCGAAUCCCUCCGAUUCCACGA